UACGUAGGAUGCAAGCGUUGUCCGGAUUUACUGGGCGUAAAGCGCGCGCAGGCGGCACUCUAAGUACGUCGUGAAAUAUCCCGGCUCAACCGGGAGGGUGCGAUGUAGACUAGGGAGCUAGAGGUCGGUAGAGGGGGGUGGAAUUGCUGGUGUAGCGGUGAAAUGCGUAGAGAUCAGCAGGAACACCCGUGGCGAAGGCGGCCCCCUGGGCCGUACCUGACGCUGAGGCGCGAAGGCUAGGGGAGCGAACGGG
rnacentral:rRNA from 1 species